AUGGGGAAUGCGCCCUCAGACACUGAAGCGAAAGAGGAAAGAGAACGGGAGUUCCAAGCGGGACAGGAAGCACAAGCUCGACGGGAUGUACAAGCACAGCGGGAGUAUGAAGAGCAAAAAAGACGAUAUGAGGCUCAGGAACGAAAAGAAGCGUACAAUCGUCAGCGUAUGAGUGACUUGAGAAGCUCCGAACUAUCGCAGAGAAGAGCCGAGGAAGAACGCGCAGAUAGACAGAGACAGACAGCCGUGGAACAGCUUCAAGCGACAAAAACUGAGAGCAACAGAAGGGAGGAUGAACUCGUAAAAUCAAAUCAAAAAGAACAAAUUGAAGCAAUGCAGAGAUCCGAUGAGGCAUUAAAAAACCAAAAAGAUGCGGAUAACAAGGAAAUUUUGACGAGAGAGAAGAUUGAUCAAGAAAUGCUGAAGCAGACCCAGGAGAGAAAAAAUCACAGCGAGGACAUCAUACUUGCAAACGUCAAAGCGUUGAAAAAGGAGAACACACGAUUUCAAAAGGAGAGUCUUAACGAGAAGAAACAAUUUGGACUGAAAGUCUUGAAGACAGCGGAAGAGAACAACGCCAUUGUUUUGAACGAAACGCAGAGAACCAAUGAAAUCAAGUUGGGUAAUGGAAAAAAUCAAAUAGAUCAUGAUUCACGAAUGGCUGCGUUAAAAGAACGGAAUAUGGUAACAAAGGGUCUUUUCUACGGAGAACUAGGAAAAGACAGAAAAGAAGAUGUUUUCAUUGCUGCUGUCCACAGAAUGGUCAGCGCUGGACGAGAUCUUACAGAUGAAGUCGACUCUUCGGCGGGUCACACAAUCAAACUAAUUAGAGGAAGUGACCGAGCGGAAUUGAAAAGCAAUAUUGGACUUUGUGAGGAAAUAUUCAGCAGUGACGGUGAGCAGCGGAGGAGAGAAGAUCGAGCACGUGCACAGAUUCGAGCCGAUCAGGAGCAACGACGAAGAGAUCUUGAAGAAAGUGAACGGCGGGCUGAGGAGGAACGACGGCAGUAUGAUCGGGAGAGGAGAAGAGAGCAAGAACGGCUUGAAGCUCUGCAGCGAUUGGAAGAUGCGUUGAGAAUGGAGCUCCGACAACGUGAACUCGAGAGACAACUUGCUGCUCAAGCCGAAAAAGAUAGAAUUGAGAAAAUAAUUCGAGAUCUCAUACUAACCGCUGAAGAAGAAUUCAAAGUAGGCAAAGAAGAAUUGAGAAAAGAACAUCAAUCUGUGAUGAGGAAGAUACGAGAAUUUCACAAGAAUGCUUUAGAAAUGAAACGAAUCGAUUUUAAAUUAGCCGAAGGAAUUCUUUCGGUUGCAAUUGAUGGAAUAAAAGAGAUGAUGAAAAUUGACAAAGAAGAGCAUCGCUCUGAAAUCAAACGUCACGAGUUAACGAAACGAGAAAUGGUUGAAAAGCAUCAAGAAACAAUUCUUUCGGAAAUCUUACUAACAUCAACAUUUGAAGAAGAUAUGCAAGAGCACGAGCUACAACAUCAAUUAAAACUGGAAAAUAUCGAGAAGAAAUCUGAAAUAGAUAAAGCCAACUUUGAUAAAGCAGUUAGAGCUGAUAUUCUUGAAAACAAGUUUAACAGGGCCGUGCAGCGAACAAAACGCGCGGGGUGCUCGUUGUCAGAUGCCAUGGAGAUUUUGAACGAAUCAAUCGGUUCUCUGCAAGAUGAAGAUGGUGAACAGACAUUGACAAGGGCUAGGAACCGACAGAUUGGCAUAACUCGGGUGAAUCAUGGCUUGAAUGAUCUGUCGGAAGCAGCAGAAAACAUAUUAAGACUGCAUGGGCUCGACGUUGAGGAGGACAGCACAAACAAAGAAAUUUCUACACAAAUUCUAGACGAUAUUGGUACUGCCAGAGAAUGUUUGAGCCAGCUUGUAAACUCUGAUGAGGAAACUUUGUUGGAAACUUUUCAAAUGCUCAGCGAGAAAACUUCUUUUUUAUCUUCAUUAGCUGUUGACAUUCUUCUCGAAAUUGCCCUACAAAACCAUGUUGUAAACGCAAUCGAGAAGAGUAAUUUGGAAUUGUUCGAAUGUUGUACUGGUGCUAUUGAAGAUUGA